AUUGAACGCUGGCGGCAGGCCUAACACAUGCAAGUCGAGCGGAUGAAGGGAGCUUGCUCCUGGAUUCAGCGGCUGACGGGUGAGUAAUGCCUAGGAAUCUGCCUGGUAGUGGGGGAUAACGUCCGGAAACGGGCGCUAAUACCGCAUACGUCCUGAGGGAGAAAGUGGGGGAUCUUCGGACCUCACGCUAUCAGAUGAGCCUAGGUCGGAUUAGCUAGUUGGUGGGGUAAAGGCCUACCAAGGCGACGAUCCGUAACUGGUCUGAGAGGAUGAUCAGUCACACUGGAACUGAAACACGGUCCAGACUCCUACGGGAGGCAGCAGUGGGGAAUAUUGGACAAUGGGCGAAAGCCUGAUCCAGCCAUGCCGCGUGUGUGAAGAAGGUCUUCGGAUUGUAAAGCACUUUAAGUUGGGAGGAAGGGCAGUAAGUUAAUACCUUGCUGUUUUGACGUUACCAACAGAAUAAGCACCGGCUAACUUCGUG
rnacentral:rRNA from 1 species